rnacentral:rRNA from 1 species
UACAGAGGUCCCAAGCGUUGUUCGGAUUCACUGGGCGUAAAGGGUGCGUAGGCGGUCAUUUAAGUCUGACGUGAAAUCUCCGGGCUCAACCCGGAAACUGCCAUUGAUACUAAUGGUCUUGAAUUUUGUUGAGGUAGGCGGAAUAAGUCAUGUAGCGGUGAAAUGCAUAGAUAUGACUUAGAACACCAAUUGCGAAGGCAGCUUGCUAAACAAAUAUUGACGCUGAGGCACGAAAGCGUGGGGAUCAAACAGG